rnacentral:SRP_RNA from 2 species
ACUGGGCAUGGUGGCGCAUGCCUGUAGUCCCAGCUCUUCAGGAGGCUGAUGGGGGAGGAUCGCUUGAGCUCAGGAGUUCUGGGCUGUAGUGUGCUAUGCCAAUCGGGUGUCCACACUAAGUUCAGCAUCAAUACAGUGACCUCCCGGGGGUGGGGGACCUCCAGAUUGCCUAGGAAAGGGUGAAUUGGCUCAGGUUGGAAUCGGAGCAGGUCAAAACUCCCAUGCUGAUCAAUAGUGGGAUCGUGCUUGGGUAUAGCCACUGCAUGCCAGCCUGGGCAACAUAGUGAGGGCCCAUCUCUU